AUGAGGUUUGACACUUUGGAAGAUGCCAAGGAGCACUACAAUGCAUAUUCCUUGCAGAUGGGUUUUUCAAUCAAAAUGAAUACUUCAAGGAAGGAUAUGAAAAUCGGGGAGUUGAUAAAACAACAGUUUGUUUGCAACAAGUUUCGAAAGCCUGAUGUCGAUGACAGAGGGGCAGAAAAGAUUCCUGUGCUAGAUGAUACUGUUGAGCAAGUAAAAGAUGAUAAUGAAGAUGAGGCUAUUGUCUUUCUUGAUGAUGACAGUAAAGGCAAAAAGAGGAGCAAGAAACGAAAAAGAGAGAAAAUUGUGCAAACUGGUUGCAAAGCUAAGAUGAUUGUGAAGGUAAUAGAUGGCAGAUGGGAGGUGAUCUACUUUGUUGGCGAGCACAACCAUCCGUUGGUUGACAAGCCAUGUUUGACUAAGUAUUUGUGA
rnacentral:rRNA from 1 species